rnacentral:rRNA from 1 species
UGGGGAAUUUUGGACAAUGGGGGCAACCCUGAUCCAGCCAUGCCGCGUGUGUGAAGAAGGCCUUCGGGUUGUAAAGCACUUUCGGCCGGAACGAAAUCGCGCGGAUUAAUAACCCGUGUGGAUGACGGUACCGGAAGAAGAAGCACCGGCUAACUACGUGCCAGCAGCCGCGGUAAUACGUAGGGUGCGAGCGUUAAUCGGAAUUACUGGGCGUAAAGGGUGCGCAGGCGGCCCCGCAUGUCAGGCGUGAAAUCCCCGGGCUUAACCUGGGAAUGGCGCUUGAAACUACGGGGCUGGAGUAUGGCAGAGGGAGGUGGAAUUCCACGUGUAGCGGUGAAAUGCGUAGAGAUGUGGAGGAACACCGAUGGCGAAGGCAGCCUCCUGGGCCAAUACUGACGCUCAUGCACGAAAGCGUGGGGAGCAAACAGGAUUAGAUACCCAAGUAGUCCCUGAGCGGGCUGGCAAGGCGCAU